GACGAACGCUGGCGGCGUGCUUAACACAUGCAAGUCGAACGGAGUUACGUAUGAAGUAUUCGGUACGGACUAUGUAACUUAGUGGCGAACGGGUGAGUAACACGUGGGCAACCUGCCCUUAACCGGGGGAUAACAUUGUGAAAACAGUGCUAAUACCGCAUAACAGAGUAUCGGGCAUCCGAUAUUUUUAAAAGGAGCAAUCCGGUUUAGGAUGGGCCCGCGUCCAAUUAGCUAGUUGGUGAGGUAACGGCUCACCAAGGCUACGAUUGGUAGCCGAACUGAGAGGUUGAUCGGCCACAUUGGGACUGAGACACGGCCCAGACUCCUACGGGAGGCAGCAGUGGGGAAUAUUGGGCAAUGGGCGAAAGCCUGACCCAGCGACGCCGCGUGAAGGAUGAAGGUCUUCGGAUUGUAAACUUCUUUGAUCAGGGAAGAAAGAAAUGACGGUACCUGAAGAACAAGCCACGGCUAACUACGUG
rnacentral:rRNA from 1 species